GACGUAGGGCGCGAGCGUUGUCCGGAUUUAUUGGGCGUAAAGAGCUCGUAGGCGGCUUGUCGCGUCGAAUGUGAAAUCUCAGGGCUCAACUCUGACAUUGCAUUCGAUACGGGCAGGCUAGAGUUCGGUAGGGGAGACUGGAAUUCCUGGUGUAGCGGUGAAAUGCGCAGAUAUCAGGAGGAACACCGGUGGCGAAGGCAGGUCUCUGGGCCACUACUGACGCUGAGAAGCGAAAGCAUGGGGAGCGAACAGG
rnacentral:rRNA from 1 species